AACGAACGCUGGCGGCAUGCCUAACACAUGCAAGUCGAACGAGAACUUCGGGUCUAGUGGCGCACGGGUGCGUAACGCGUGGGAACCUGCCCUUAGGUUCGGAAUAACUCCCCGAAAGGGGUGCUAAUACCGGAUAAUGUCUUCGGACCAAUGAUUUAUCGCGUUUGGAUGGGCGCGCGUUGGAUUAGCUAGUUGGUAGGGUAAAAGCCUACCAAGGCGGCGAUCCAUAGCUGGUCUGAGAGGAUGAUCAGCCACACUGGGGCUAAGGCACGGCCCAGACUGCUACGGAACGGAGGGGAAUAGUAUAUAAGGCGAGCGAGCAUAGUCUGAUCCAGCAAUGCCGCGGGUGUCAUGAAUGCCUUAGUGUUGUAAAUCUCGUUUACCCGGGAUGUUAGUGACAGUACCGGGAGAAGAAGCACCGGCUAACUCCGUG
rnacentral:rRNA from 1 species